rnacentral:lncRNA from 1 species
UCAGGAUCAAAUUUUUAGCUGGUAGUUCUUAGCGGUGUAAAUAGGUUCUAAGCGUAUAGCCCGUGUAAGUGACGGUGGAAAGUGAAAGGAAAAUUAAGGAAGACAGUGAUACAUGGAGCCUAUAGAUAUGGAAGUGAGUGGUUUAUUCUUGCCAUUGUGGAGAACCGGAGAUAUAAGAGGGCCACCAAGUUACUUCCCGCAGAAAGUCACAUGCAAACUUGCAGUGACGCAAGUGAGGAUGUAAGGAACUAUAAAGUGCAACCUGUAUGACUGUCCUCCUGCGCGACGUCGAAGAUAGGGUUCUACUUCGUUUGACACUGACACUAAUGCUCACUCUACAUAGACCCCGUUUGAUUCGUCGUGGUAAACUUUAACUCUCGUCAUAUUGAAUAUUUAAACACAUGCAUGAAAUACUAAAUAUAUUAUUUAUAAAACUAAAAACACACAGAUAGAGAGUAAUUUACGAGACGAAUCUUUUAAAUCUAAUUAAUCUAUAAUUGAACACUAAUUGUCAAAUAAAAUAAAAUUACUACAGUACUUGUUAAACUUUAACAUCCAAAACCAAACACCCCCAUAAAUGAAAUCUAAUUGAUAAGGCGUUUUGCGAUGAUAACCACGGUUACCAUAGCUUCCUGUUUUCUGUUAUCUGUUUUGGGUUGGACUCUUUUCUGUUUAAUAAGAUAUACGCCCAAAGGGACAGGCGUGAUCGGAAAAAAAAAAACACCCCCCAUAAAUGAAAUCUGAUUGGUAAAAUGUCCGGCUGGAAGAAAGUUUAUAUUAGCCACGAGUGAUCGUAAGUGUCUACGUCUAUACACCUAACUCCAAAAAAAUAGCAGUACCCUAACCACUUCAUGGCGAUUUGCGAGAGCGGACCGCUACUUGACGAGUCAGAACUGACUUCUUGUUCGGACCAACC